rnacentral:rRNA from 1 species
GUAACGAGCGCAACCCUUGUCCUUAGUUACCAGCACGUUAUGGUGGGCACUCUAAGGAGACUGCCGGUGACAAACCGGAGGAAGGUGGGGAUGACGUCAAGUCAUCAUGGCCCUUACGGCCUGGGCUACACACGUGCUACAAUGGUCGGUACAAAGGGUUGCCAAGCCGCGAGGUGGAGCCAAUCCCAUAAAACCGAUCGUAGUCCGGAUCGCAGUCUGCAACUCGACUGCGUGAAGUCGGAAUCGCUAGUAAUCGUGAGUCAGAAUGUCCACGGUCGAAUACGUUCCCGGGCCUU